GAUGAAGAACGCAGCGAAAUGCGAUAAGUAAUGUGAAUUGCAGAAUUCAGUGAAUCAUCGAAUCUUUGAACGCACAUUGCGCCCAUUAGUAUUCUAGUGGGCAUGCCUGUUCGAGCGUCAUUUCAACCCUUAAGCCUAGCUUAGUAUCGGGAAUCGACUUUACUGUCGUUCCUCAAAUUCAACGGCGGAUUUAUAGCAAUCUCUGAACGUAGUAAUUUUUUUUCUCGUUUUUGAAAUACUAUAAACCUCAGCCGCUAAACCCCCAAUUUCUUAUGGUUGACCUCGGAUCAGGUAGGAAUACCCGCUGAACUUAAGCAUAUCAAUAAGCGGAGGA
rnacentral:misc_RNA from 1 species